GAUGAACGCUGGCGGCGUGCCUAAUACAUGCAGGUCGAGCGAACGGACGAGAAGCUUGCUUCUCUGAUGUUAGCGGCGGACGGGUGAGUAACACGUGGAUAACCUACCUAUAAGACUGGGAUAACUUCGGGAAACCGGAGCUAAUACCGGAUGAUAUUUUGAACCGCAUGGUUCAAAAGUGAAAGACGGUCUUGCUGUCACUUAUAGAUGGAUCCGCGCUGCAUUAGCUAGUUGGUAAGGUAACGGCUUACCAAGGCAACGAUGCAUAGCCGACCUGAGAGGGUGAUCGGCCACACUGGAACUGAGACACGGUCCAGACUCCUACGGGAGGCAGCAGUAGGGAAUCUUCCGCAAUGGGCGAAAGCCUGACGGAGCAACGCCGCGUGAGUGAUGAAGGUCUUCGGAUCGUAAAACUCUGUUAUUAGGGAAGAACAUAUGUGUAAGUAACUGUGCACAUCUUGACGGUACCUAAUCAGAAAGCCACGGCUAACUACGUG
rnacentral:rRNA from 1 species